rnacentral:rRNA from 1 species
GACGAACGCUGGCGGCGUGCUUAACACAUGCAAGUCGAACGGAAGGGCCCUGCUUGCCGGGUACUCGAGUGGCGAACGGGUGAGUAACACGUGGGUGAUCUGCCCUGCACUUCGGGAUAAGCUUGGGAAACUGGGUCUAAUACCGGAUAGGACCGCACUUUAGUGUGUGUGGUGGAAAGUUUUUUCGGUGUAGGAUGAGCUCGCGGCCUAUCAGCUUGUUGGUGGGGUAAUGGCCUACCAAGGCGGCGACGGGUAGCCGGCCUGAGAGGGUGUACGGCCACCUUGGGACUGAGAUACGGCCCAGACGCCUACGGGAGGCAGCAGUGGGGAAUAUUGCACAAUGGGCGCAAGCCUGAUGCAGCGACGCCGCGUGGGGGAUGAAGGCCUUCGGGUUGUAAACUCCUUUCGCUAGGGACGAAGCUUUUUGUGACGGUACCUAGAUAAGAAGCACCGGCUAACUACGUG